rnacentral:lncRNA from 1 species
UGGCUCGGUGUCUCUUCUGUCUCUUGGGGUCAAUCUCUCCCUUCCCUUGGGAACUCAGCCGGGAGAUACGAACACCCAGCAGGUGUGUGUGAAGAAUUGGCCUCAGUUCACUAAACUUCUACCGGAUUCCUGAAUAUCUCCAGUAUUUGAACGUUGAAACCAUGCAGGGCUUCCAUAAGAUCUGUGUAAAAGAUUCAUGGAUAUACUCAGCAUCAAUAACCUUUACAAUCCAGGGUUUUGAUGAAUUGAACUUUAAGACACCCCUUCGUAGCUAAUAUUCUUGACAUCAAGUGGAUUAAUCUUCCUGGAAAAUUCUUAGUAGUAAUUGAAAUACAAUCUUAAUUUUAAUUAAUGGGGAUAUGAAAUGAACUCGAAAACCCCGUCUCUUGAGAAUUGCACAUGAGAAGCAUCUGUUAAGAAGUAAGGUGGGGAAAGGACAUUAGAUGGUAGGAAUUUCCUUAUUUAACCCGCCCUGUGGCUCAGGCAGGAGAAUGGCGUGCCCACAGUGGCGAUAAGUUGCAUGGGAAACUCACACCAGAACCAUCAGACUCCUGAGCUCAACCAGGGCUCAUUCUAGGCCACUGUGCUGAUGUUGCUGUUUCACAGAAGUAGUACCUGACUGAUCCACCAUCAGCAGGGUUGGCUGGAAAUUACAGUGGCUAGAAACAUUUAGAACCAUGCCUAGCGACUGGAAUUUUGAGAUGGCCAGUGAUGAAUUAAGGCUCAUCAUUGACAAAUACGAGAAAUCAGUUGGUAGAAGCACUUUAAAGAUGAUUCCUAUUAUAAUACCAAGCAGCUCUUAAAGUGAGCUUUACUGUUUGAAAAUCACUGUUAGGAGUUCCCGCCGUGGUGCAGCUGGUUAAGGACCCUGGGUUGUCUCUGCUACGGUGUGGGCUCGAUCCCUGCCCAGGAGCAGUGGGUUGAGGGUCUGACAUUCCCACAACUGUGGGUUGGAUGCGAUUCCCCAACCCAGGAAAUUCCACAUGCAGCCAAAAGAGAAAAGAAAAAGAAAAGCACUUUCAUAUUCUGUAGGUUAUUGUUUUGAGUUUUGUACCAUCCUUUUUUCUUCAAACAAGGGAACUAAAGACAGUUUCGAUAGUUUGACCAAGGUGCCACUGCUGGCAGAACUGGCACUCAGACUGAGGCGUGGCAGGUGAAAAACAAGAUGAAACAGAGACACCUGCCUAGCAAGGAUCUCCCGGGCGCAGAUCCACCAGAGUUCAUUUUCAGGGGACUCCCACUCUGCCCCUCCACGGGGAACCUUGUGACAUUUGUAGGAAGUCUGCCUGCGAGAAGGCUGUUUGCUGUUUUUUGCAAUAUGGCAUUUCCUUCUCCUGCAGAUGUCUGCAAGGGCCCUCGGGGUGCCCCCCCCAGUCCCCCAUCUUCUUCUUUUACACAGAGGAUAAAUCAGAUUCUGUGUUCACGCUCAUUAGAAACAGAAAGCAGUUUAUUAGCCCUUUGUUAUGAUCUGCAUGGCGUUUGUAAAUCUCACCCCCAAAUCCAUUUCUCUCGUUCUUCUGGGAAAGCAAUCUGUUUUGUCAAUAACCUCACGGACAAAGACGCUGAAACAGCAACAGCAAACGGAAGGAUGGAAAGUAUAUCAAGAGUAAAUAGGGAAACAAAAGGGCAUGGGGAGCACGAGGCAAAAUGCCAGCCCAAAAGGGUGAUCCUUAGGAAAGGCGAGAAUAAGGCAGUGGGGUAACUGCAUCAGCGGAAGGGUCUUUCUUUGUUCCUUCCUUCCUUUGUCAAACACAGAGCCCGGCAGGGCUGAGAGUGCCCACUUCAGUUUUUUGAUACAGAGCUGCUCUCACAAAGUGAGUGAUAUUAUCACGAGUAAAGUUUUUUUUUUUUUUUUAAUUCGCAUUUAUUCAUAAGCAUUACCUGGUGACAACUACCUGUCACCUAAGGUGCUCAUGGUGGGGGGGGAAGGGGGAUGAGAUGAUUGGUAGCAUCUCUCCCCAGAAGGACCUUAGCGUUUAAUGGAUUAAAAAAAAUCCUCACCGGAGUUCCCGUCGUGGCGCAGUGGUUAACAAGUCUGACUAGGAACCAUGAGGUUGCGGGUUCGGUCCCUGCCCUUGCUCAGUGGGUUAACGAUCCGGCGUUGCCGUGAGCUGUGGUGUAGGUCGCAGACGUGGCUCGGAUCCCGCGUUGCUGUGGCUCUGGCGUAGGCCGGUGGCUACAGCUCCGAUUAGAUCCCUAGCCUGGGAACCUCCAUAUGCCGCGGGAGUGGCCCAAGAAAUGGCAACAAC